rnacentral:rRNA from 1 species
UACGGAGGGGGCUAGCGUUGUUCGGAAUUACUGGGCGUAAAGCGCACGUAGGCGGCUUUGCAAGUUAGAGGUGAAAGCCCGGAGCUCAACUCCGGAAUUGCCUUUAAAACUGCAUCGCUAGAAUUGUGGAGAGGUAAGUGGAAUUCCGAGUGUAGAGGUGAAAUUCGUAGAUAUUCGGAAGAACACCAGUGGCGAAGGCGACUUACUGGACACAUAUUGACGCUGAGGUGCGAAAGCGUGGGGAGCAAACAGGG